rnacentral:tRNA from 1 species
GGGCUGUGGCCAAGCCCGGCAUGGCGACUGACUCCAAUAUCAGUCGAUCGGGGGUUCAAAUCAAAUCCCUCCGGCCCCACCA